AAGAACAGCAGGAGAUUUUGUGAGUGGUCAGGCUGGGAACAGUGACACUGGAGAUGCGCAUUCAUGAGAAUUCUCAAUUUCUUUCUUUCAGCCUUUGAAUGAAUACAACGUCGCCCGGUUGGAAUAUUAUCGCUAUUUUAUGAGAAAAAUAGCAUAAAAAUUGAUUUUGAACAGCGUUUGAUAUGCUUCGAAGUACGGUAAUGGAAUAUUUGGAAUUUUUUUGUCAUGAAAUGAGCUCGCCUUCGGAUAGUGACUUGAACGCACGAACAAAACGGAGCUAUUUAGAUAUAACUAUGGAUUAUUUGGAACCAAAACAACAUUUGUUGUUGAAGUAGAAGUCCUGGGAGUGCAUUCUGACGAAGAACAGCAAAGGGUCAUCGCUGAGGAAGGCCUGAAGUAUGAGGAGGACCAUGAGUUCAUGGACUUCUUGAUGGAAGGUGCUUUUGAUGAGGAGCUACUUGGUGAAGACGAGGGUGAAGAGUAUGAGACACACACAUAGGACAGACAGGUGAACAUCGACUGGCAGAGAAGCAGCUGAACUGUUUGUCCCCUAAACCUCCGAGCUGUACAUGCUGUACAUACCAAGCUGAUGGUGCAGGUUGUAGAAAUGGUCUAGCCUGGUCCCAGAUCUGUUUAUGCUGACAUGCUAACUCCUAACGUAUGAUAGUUGUCAUGCCAUGUUACCAUAGCAUUGGGCUAUACAUAGGAGUUGGCUAUGUACAGAAGCACAAACAGAUUGAAGACCAAGGUAACAUUUGGCUGAUUGUCAGAACGGAAAGAGUGAAACUUCAAUGUAUUGUACUUGAGGACUACUCUAGAAAUGUUUGGCUUUGUUACAGGAAAGUUCGAAAUGAGAAUAUGACAUAGUUUGCUUCUGUGGAAACUGAAUGCGAGGGCAAGUAGUUGUGUAUGAUUUUAUGGUUAUGAUAGUGAUGUACCUUGCACUUUGUUUUUAGGUUUGAAUGAGACAAUGUAUUCCUCUAACCUUACUGUUUUAUUAAUAUUAUCUUACUUGUGUAUGUGUAGGAGAGUUCAAAUGGUACACAAUCCAGAACAGAACAUCCAGGUUAAGGGUCAGUGGUCCAAGCCCGCGAACAGGAAUAUUCCAAGUUCAGACAGAAGGGGAAACAGAUCGCUAUGAUCGCCAGGAGCUUCGCUUUGGUUUAUAUUUUCAUUUGUUGCGCAGUACUGCCUGUUUAUGUUAAGGAGGCAGCUACAAUUGCUGGAUGAUAUUAACAUCUUGUGAUUUUAUUUCAUUAAAUGUAUUUCAUCUGGUUGCUUGCGUCACCUACUAACACCCUGGUACUACCCGUAGCUCCCGUUCUCCUCAGUCCAAGAAAAUACUGUGAGAGAAAGGUAUGUGUCGCAGAUGACUCCUGUGUAGAAGUCCACAACCUUAAAUAAAGUAUCCCAAGGUUAAUGCUAUAGGUAUUGUUAUAAGGGAG
rnacentral:lncRNA from 1 species